AGUGUAAGGAAUAAAUAAAAAAUGUUGAAAAAAGAAAUCUUAAAAGUAUAAGAAAUAAAAGGAAAGGUCGAAAAAUAAAAAAGAAGUUGAAAGUCGAAAAAUAAAAAGAAGUUGAAGAAGGUGAAGAAGAAACAGUAACAACUCCGUAGAAAAAAGUAUAAGAAUAAAAGCAUAUGGAGGAUAAAAGAAACAGAUAGUGCGAGAUAAAGAAGAGAGUAAAACUCAAAAACUGUGGCAUGACAAGU
rnacentral:lncRNA from 1 species